GACGAACGCUGGCGGCGUGCCUAAUACAUGCAAGUAGAACGCUGAAGGAGGAGCUUGCUUCUCUGGAUGAGUUGCGAACGGGUGAGUAACGCGUAGGUAACCUGCCUGGUAGCGGGGGAUAACUAUUGGAAACGAUAGCUAAUACCGCAUAAGAGUAGAUGUUGCAUGACAUUUGCUUAAAAGGUGCAAUUGCAUCACUACCAGAUGGACCUGCGUUGUAUUAGCUAGUUGGUGGGGUAACGGCUCACCAAGGCGACGAUACAUAGCCGACCUGAGAGGGGGAUCGGCCACACUGGGACUGAGACACGGCCCAGACUGCUACGGGAGGCAGCAGUAGGGAAGCUUCGGCAAUGGACGGAAGUCUGACCGAGCAACGCCGCGUGAGUGAAGAAGGUUUUCGGAUCGUAAAGCUCGGUUGUAAGAGAAGAACGAGUGUGAGAGUGGAAAGUUCACACUGUGACGGUAUCUUACCAGAAAGGGACGGCUAACUACGUG
rnacentral:rRNA from 1 species